CAUGUUGGUCUCUCUAGUUUAUGAGCAGUUGUACUUGGUCCUUAAAUUUGAACACUUAGACCUCUAAAGUUUUCAAUCGACCUUGGGACUUUUAAGUUAUGCUGAUUGAUGUUACAAAGGGUAAAAUCUACAAUAUUUAAAAGAGAGUAAAUUUUUUGUUUGGUUAAAUUUCAUGUUCGUCUCUAUAGUUUAUGAAAAGGUAUCUUCAUGAGUUAUGCCCACACGAACAAUCUAAUUCGGUCCAAUAUUUAAUAGGGUUGAACCAGUAUUUUAACUUGAGGUGAGCCAAACUAAUAACUUUUAUGGGUGAUGAAUAUCCUACUUAACAUAUUCUAUUGAUACAUAUUUUUUUGAAACAAAAUAGUUUCUUCCUUAUUUUUAUCUAGGCUUACCAAAAAAUAUUUUAUAGGCCUAAUUGGUGAUGUUUAAAUAUUAUCACGUUACUUAUUGUUAUUGUAUUUUUUGUGUAAGGUUAAUUCAUGGGUGUAUAAUUCAUGAUUAUGGUAAUGCUUGAUAAUAGAUUUAAAAAUGGAGAUUGAACUAUUAUAAAGCUCACUUUAACUCUAUUCUAAUAUUAAAAAUAAAGCUUGAUAUUAUCGUCCGUUGGGAGUGUUAAUUUCUAAAAAUGGAGCAUUUGGAAUGUCAUGGGAAUGUGGUAUUCCCAAUUCAUAAACAUCUUUACUUCAUAAAAAUCUUUAGUUUCAUGGGGGCAUAAAUGAAAAGUAUUAGUUCAUUCCAAAGUAUAGCAAAACAAGCAUUAAUCAUGUAUAUCUAUGGGAUUCAUAAUCGAUAAACAAAUAUAUUUUGAAUGGUAUAAAAUUAGACUACUUAUCCAACCUCCAUCUAAACACGUCUGUCUGCCACACUUCCAAAUAAGAAUUGCGUUACUAUUUUUUAAAAUUUUCGAUACACUUUUCACACUUUCUUAUACACUAUCGACCGCCCGGUUUAUAGCAUUUCCCUUUUUGAAAACUACUAUGAUUUCGUGCAUGACAGUGAUUACUCUAGCCAGUGUACAAAAAUAAAAAAUUGAGAUAGUGAACACAAGGAUCUUGGUUGCAUCUAGUUGUAGCCUAUCACUUUUAGAAACUCCUUUCUAUCACCAUUUUCAACGGAAAAGAAUGCAUUGGUCUGUAAUGAAAACGACAAAAAUAAAUAUCACUACAAACUAUUUUUGGUUUUUCGUGAUUAGCUCCAAAAUUCUCUAUCAUUCUUUUAUUGUAAGACUCUUAAGGGAUGCUUCGGCCAGGGGCCUCACAAGAGUCCUGUGGGGACAAAAUACACGAUUACAUCACCUGACUUUAUUGGGACAGGGACCUCGAACAGAUUGUCGCUAGUGAGUAAGCUCGGUUGACCCUGCGCCGGAGUUCAAUUCAUAUUCGAUGGAACGCCGGCCUUGCUAGGGCAGUCGUCUCCGCCGAGCUACCGAGGCCAGCGAGCUCGGAGACCCUAUGCGUUGGAGCUCGGUGCAGUCACGAUUAAAGAUACCGUUUGAGCUAAAACUUUCGUUACAUUCAAGGUGCCGCUCGUCAGCGAGCUCAAAACAAUGACCGUUGUAGAAGCUUGGGCGAAGAAUGACAGCCGGCGUAGUUUCCAAGAAAUGUCAAGGGACAAAAAGUGACUUGCAUGAUAGAACGCCUUUUAUCAGCCACCAUACCGUCGAUGGAGACACUGGCAGUUGAUCAUCAGUGACCAGUCACGCCUCAAGGGUACGGCGGAGUCAACACCUACUCCUGAUCACCAACGGUUUGGCACGUAUCUUCCUGAGUUAUGCCCACAGGACGACCUCAUUCGGUCGCAAUAAUUUAAUAGGAUUUGAACCAGUAUUUUAACUAUAGUUGAGCCAAACUAAUACUUUUAUGGUGGGUCUUUAUGGAUACCUACUUAAACCAUUCAUUGAUACAUAUUUUUUUUGAAACAAAAUAUUUUCUUCUUUUUCUUCUUCCUUAUUUUUAUCUAGGCUUACCAAAAGAUAUUUUAUAGGCCUAAUUGGUGAUAUUUAAAUAUUAUCAUGUUACUUAUUGUAAUUGUAUUUUUUGUGUAAGGUUAAUUCAUGGGUGUAUAAUUCAUGACUAUGGUAAUGCUUGAUAAUAGAUUUAAAAAUGGAGAUUGAAUUAUUACAGAGCUCACUUUAACUAUGUUCUAAUGUUAAAAAUAAAGUCUCGAAUAGUACUAGUCCGUUGGGAGUGUUAAUUUCUAAAAAUAGAGCAUUUGGAAUGUCAUGGGAAUGUGGUAUUCCCAAUUCAUGGGAACGAAAUGACUAUUUUAACCUCGCAGUAUAUAAACAUCUUUACUUCAAAAAAAUCUUUAGUUUUAUGGGGGCAUAAAUGAAAAGUAUUAGUUCAUUCCAAAGUAUAGCAAAACAAGCAUUAAUCAUGUAUAUCUAUGGGAUUCAUAAUCGAUAAACAAAUAUAUUUUGAAUGGUAUGAAAUUGGAUUACUUAUCCAAUCUCUAUCUAAACACGUCCGUCUGCCACACUUCCAAAUAAAAAUUGCGUUAC
rnacentral:lncRNA from 1 species